AGAGUUUGAUCCUGGCUCAGAACGAACGUUGGCGGCGUGCUUAACACAUGCAAGUCGAACGAGAAAGUUUCCUUCGGGAAGCGAGUAAAGUGGCGCACGGGUGAGUAACGCGUAGAUAACCUGUCCAGAUGUCCGGGAUAGCCCAUCGAAAGGCGGAUUAAUACCGGGUAUCUUGUUUUAACCUAAGUUGAACCAAGAAAGGUGGCCUCUAUUUAUAAGCUAUCGCAUUUGGAGGGGUCUGCGUACCAUUAGUUUGUUGGUGGGGUAACGGCCUACCAAGACUACGAUGGUUAGCGGGUCUGAGAGGAUGAUCCGUCACACUGGCACUGAAACACGGGCCAGACUCCUACGGGAGGCAGCAGUGAGGAAUAUUGCGCAAUGGGGGAAACCCUGACGCAGCGACGCCGCGUGAGUGAGGAAGGCCUUCGGGUCGUAAAGCUCUGUCAGAAGGGAAGAAAUGAAUAUAGGUUAAUACCCUGUAUUUUUGACGGUACCUUCAAAGGAAGCACCGGCUAACUCCGUGCCAGCAGCCGCGGUAAUACGGAGGGUGCAAACGUUGUUCGGAAUCACUGGGCGUAAAGGGCAC
rnacentral:rRNA from 1 species